rnacentral:lncRNA from 1 species
AGACGAUGAAGAUGAGGAAUCAGACAAGUCCAAAUCUGAAGUUAAUAAUGAAGAUGAAGCAAGUGGAGAGGUAGUCUAAAUUCUUUCUUCUUUUGCUUACAUGAAUUUUGAGCAUCAUAAGAAAAACACUUUGAAUAGUAUGACAUUCGCUACCUCACAAAGGUGCUAUGGUUUCUCAGUCUCCAUGAUAGUUUUUCUUCCAAAAAGUUUAGAUAACAUGUUCCAAAAAAUUUCUUUGAUACAUUUUACAAUCUAUUUGCACUUUUUUUUUUCUCUCAUUCCCUGUUCCUCAUUUUACAAUUUGUUUGCACAUUUUUUUUAAUAAAAACCAUGAAAACAAAUCUUCCUUUUUGUGUUUUUUUACCAUUCUCCUCAUUGUAUAGGACGACCACCAAGAUGAUGAGGACGAAGAUGACGAGGAAGAGGAUGAUGACGAUGAAGAUGAUGAUUGAGAUUUGUGUGCAUAACUUGAAAUAUGAUGUUUCAUUGGUUGAGGGAAGCUUUUAUGUAUUUUGUAGUAGGGCUACUUUUGGAUAUCUUUGUUGGUUGAAUAUUUAU